rnacentral:rRNA from 1 species
CCUACGGUGGACUGCAGUCGAGAAUCAUUCACAAUGGGGGAAACCCUGAUGGUGCGACGCCGCGUGGGGGAAUGAAGGUCUUCGGAUUGUAAACCCCUGUCAUGUGGGAGCAAAUUAAAAAGAUAGUACCACAAGAGGAAGAGACGGCUAACUCUGGGCCAGCAGCCGCGGUAAUACAGAGGUCUCAAGCGUUGUUCGGAAUCACUGGGCGUAAAGCGUGCGUAGGCUGUUUCGUAAGUCGUGUGUGAAAGGCGCGGGCUCAACCCGCGGACGGCACAUGAUACUGCGAGACUAGAGUAAUGGAGGGGGAACCGGAAUUCUCGGUGUAGCAGUGAAAUGCGUAGAUAUCGAGAGGAACACUCGUGGCGAAGGCGGGUUCCUGGACAUUAACUGACGCUGAGGCACGAAGGCCAGGGGAGCGAAAGGGAUUAGAUACCCCAGUAGUC